rnacentral:rRNA from 1 species
UACGAAGGGGGCUAGCGUUGUUCGGAAUUACUGGGCGUAAAGCGUGCGUAGACGGUUAUUUAAGUCGGAUGUGAAAGCCCCGGGCUCAACCUGGGAAUUGCAUUCGAGACUGAAUAGCUAGGGUGCGGUAGAGGGAAGCGGAAUUUCCGGUGUAGCGGUGAAAUGCGUAGAUAUCGGAAGGAACAUCAGUGGCGAAAGCGGCUUCCUGGACCAGCACCGACGUUCAGGCACGAAAGCGUGGGGAGCAAACAGG